rnacentral:misc_RNA from 1 species
GUAUUUUGAAUUAAGUAUUCAUAAUAGUUUUUCAGACAAAGUGGUUCAAGGUUAUAGGUUGAUGUUUGGCCGAUCUCCAUAAAGAAGAUCGACUGACAUUGCACACAAGGUGGAUAUGGAUUUAAAAAGUGCCAUAAAACACUUAUUAUGAAUGAUCCUUCCGCAGGUUCACCUACGGAAA